rnacentral:misc_RNA from 1 species
UCUCCGUAGGUGAACCUGCGGAGGGAUCAUUACUGAGUGAGGGCCUUCGGGCUCGACCUCCAACCCUUUGUGAACACAACUUGUUGCUUCGGGGGCGACCCUGCCGUCCGCGGCUGAGCGCCCCCGAAGGUCUCCAAACACUGCAUCUUUGCGUCGGAGUUUAAGUAAAUUAAACAAAACUUUCAACAACGGAUCUCUUGGUUCUGGCAUCGAUGAAGAACGCAGC